GACAGAGGUUGCAAACGUUGUUCGGAAUUACUGGGCAUAAAGCGCACGUAGGCGGUCCACUAAGUCAGGUGUGAAAUCCCCCGGCUCAACCGGGGAAUUGCGCCUGAUACUGGCGGGCUCGAGAUCGGUAGGGGUGAGCGGAACUCCAGGCGGAGCGGUGAAAUGCGUAGAUAUCUGGAGGAACACCGGUGGCGAAAGCGGCUCACUGGAUCGACACUGACGCUGAGGUGCGAAAGCUAGGGUAGCAAACGGG
rnacentral:rRNA from 1 species